CCAGAAUUCAGAAAUGGAGAGCUGCACCAAUGCCACCGAGCAAGGAGCGAGGCACCUGUCCCCCGAGCGCCCCGCCCCUGCCACACCAUCCACAGCUUAUGGGAAAAACGGAGUGGUUGAAGAAGACAACAGUGAAGGUAUUUAAACAGAUUCAAAGCCUUCGUGGGGAAUCUGAUGAAAUGCUGAACCCUCGUUCCUCAAAAUACACGCUGGAAAAUAGUACCUCCACGGCGUCCCCAAAGAUCCACG
ensembl:lncRNA